UUUUGAUAUUGCACUAUGGUUACAUAGACCAGCUGUCACCGUCAUUUCGGAAGAAAAAGAAGAAAGUGAUGAUUGAUCCUAGGCAGCUGAGAGAAAAAAAAAGGCCAAUGUCAUCAAGCUAUCCUGCAAUCUAAACUGCGCGUCAUGAAGUGGGAUUUUUCUGACCCACCAAGGCACAGAGUUGAACAUACAUUACAGCAGUCUAUUAUCAAAUAGAAGAGCUUGAACUUAUGGCACCGUGGUAACAUCCUUAUAAUAAAUUGACAGAGAAACAGCAACAACAAAAAACUUCAGCCAAAUCUAUAGAAAAUUCUGCAUAAUAUACAGGCACCACACCAAAUAUGACAGCUGCAGCACUACAGCCCCUUGUCACCACAUCUCUGAAGGACAAUGAUGAAGAAAAAUUAUCCAAGUGUUCAGAACUUAAGUAAGCACAACUUCUAUGUUCAUUGUCAUCUAGAAGGAGAAAUAGCCAAAUGGCCAAGUUUAUAUCAAUUCAUGGGAUGUGGCCAAUAGUUCGGCUGAAUACCCAGGGACUUGAAAAGCACACAGAAUGUCGGUGAAAAAAAUGGUUUUGGGGAAGAUAUGUAGAUAGAUCUCUUUGAAUGGACUCAGGAUAUGAAUAUAUUUGUGUUCCUUGUGAAUUAUCACAAGAAGAUGAUUUAAGAAGAGGUGGGUUUUAAUAAUCAAGUGGAUGCGAUGAACCAUUCUGUGGAUAUUAGUCAGCAUCUUUCAACCAUUUCUGUCAUUGCCCAUUGAUUCAUGAACAAAGUGGCAAUGGUAGUAAAGCUGGAAGCUCAGCACGGCUUAGUAAAAUUGACUUCCAAGGCUGACCUAGCCACUUGUCAAGGCUGACCUAGCAGUAGCCUCUGUUGAAUGUCCAAUAAUCCAACAAGAGAGACUGACGGUGAGUCCUGUUGUAAUACAAUCCCUGGAGUGAUUAGACAAAUAUCGGAUGGCAGGUUGAUUACAUUAGAGCACUUUCAUUAGAUGUUGGGCAGCAUUUUUAUUGUUUUUAAUUUUGAGACAGAGUCUGGCUCCAUUGCCCAAGCUAGAGUGCAGUGGUGUGAUCUCAGCACACUGCAACCUCCACCUCCCAGGUUCAAGUGAUUUUUCUGCCACAGCCUCCUGAGUAGCUAGGAUUACAGGCACGCACCACCGUGCCCAGCUAAUUUUUUGUAUUUUCAUUUUUAGUAGAGGUGGGGUUUCAACAUGUCACCCAGGCAGGCCUUGAACUCCUGAGCUCAGACAAUCUGCCCGCCUCAGCCUCCCAAAGUACUGGGAUUACAGGUGUGACCCACCACACACAGCCAGAAUUUUGUUUUUAUUGGAAUAAACACUUACUCUAGAAAUCAAUUCUGCCCAAACUCCCAUGACUGUCAUACCCAAUGUCAUGAUAUUUCACAAAGUACUGCUUCUGACCAAGUAAAUCACUUCACAAGAAAUGGAGGGUGACAAUGGGCCCAUGGUCAUGGAAUUUGUUAUUCUUAUUGUGCUUCUCACCAUCCUGAAACACCUAGUUUGCCAGAAUAGUGAAACAGCUUUUUGAAGUCUCAGUUACGAAAUCAGCGAGCUCAGGGGUUCCUAAUCCCUGGGCUACGGUCCGGUAACAGUCCAUGGCCUGUUAGGAAAUGGGCAGCACAGCAGGAGGUGAACAGUGGGUGAGCAAGCAUUACCUCCUAAGCUCUGCCUCCUGUCAGAUCAGCUCCAGCAGUGGAUUCUCAUAGGAGCACAAACCCUAUUGUGAACUGUGCAUGAGAGGGAUCUAGGUUGCAAACUCCUUAUGACAAUCUAACUAACAUCCUGAUGAUCUCAGGUGGAACAGUUUUAUCCUGAAACCAUUCCUCCCUGCUGCAUCCCCCCAUCAGCCCUCCACUCUCCCAACACUGCCUGUGGAAACAUUGUCCAGGAAACUGGUCCCUGGGGGCAAAAAUGUUGGGCAUAGUUAAAGUACAUGGCAAAAUCUUUUGUGGCUUGGGCAGUAUCUUCCAGUAAGCAGUAAAUUCUCUAAAUUAUCAUCCAAUAUAAGAGCUUUUUCUCCCACAGCAAAGAUUCAUGGGACCAGGAAUAAAGAGUUGAAAAUGGGAGUGGCUCCUCUCACUAUUAUUGCUAGUAUUUCACCAGCAAAAAUUUGCUUCCUGUCCAUGUGAUUUUAGGCUCUACUGAUUAGAGGACUUAGUUGGAAGAAUGAUUCUGUUUGAUUAAAAAUUGUGACUGAAACCUGGUCCUUUUGGUCUCCACAUCCCUCUGAAUAGACAAGUAAAGAGUGUACUAUACUGGCUGGGGUGAUUAAUACAUAUUUCUAAGGAGAAAUUGGGUUUUUUACUAUGCAUCUGAGAUACGUAACAGAAUGUCUGGAAUACAAAAGAUCUGUUGUGGUAUCUGCUAUUACUACCCUGUCCUGUGAUUAAAAUCAAUGGAAACUCUAAAACAUAUUCAGGACUGCCAGUAAUCCAGAUCUUUCAAGAAUGAAGGUUUGAAUAGCUUAAUCAGGCAGAGAACAGCAUGCUGAGAUGCUUACUAAUGGGAAGUAAGAUAUUAAAUGUGUUACAGGGAAAAAAAAGCAAUAAAU
rnacentral:lncRNA from 10 species